rnacentral:rRNA from 1 species
CAUAUGCUUGUCUCAGAGAUUAAGCCAUGCAUGUCUAAGUACAUACCUUUAAACGGUGAAACCGCGAAUGGCUCAUUAAAUCAGCUAUGGUUCCUUGGAUCGUACAUACUACAUGGAUAACUGUAGUAAUUCUAGAGCUAAUACAUGCCACUAUGCCCUGACCCGCGAGGGAACGGGUGGAUUUAUUAGAACAGAACCAACCGGGGGCGGCUUCGGUCGUCCCUGUUGCAUUCUGUGAUGACUCUGGAUAACUUCACUGAUCGCAGUCGGCCUUGUGUCGGCGACGGAUCUUUCAAAUGUCUGCCCUAUCAAUUUUCGAUGGUAGGUGACCUGCCUACCAUGGUGCUAACGGGUAACGGGGAAUCAGGGUUCGAUUCCGGAGAGGGAGCCUGAGAAACGGCUACCACUUCCAAGGAAGGCAGCAGGCACGCAAAUUACCCAAUCCCGGCACGGGGAGGUAGUGACGAAAAAUACGGAUACGGGACUCACUAGAGGCUCCGUAAUUCGAAUGAGUACAAUUUAAAUCCUUUAACGAGGAUCAACUGGAGGGCAAGUCUGGUGCCAGCAGCCGCGGUAACUCCAGCUCCAGAAGCGUAUAUUAAAGUUGUUGCAGUUCAAAAGCUCGUAGUUGGAUCUGGGUCGCAUGGCUACAUGCCGUCGCUCGUGGGUCUGGCCUGGUUACUGCCGGGUUGAGCUUGCGAGUCGGUCUCGUGGUUGUGCUUCCUUUCUGCUGUGUCUGUUUACAGGUGUCAGCGUGACUGGUGGGCUUGCCUGCUAGUCUUGUUGGCAUGCUUCUUGGUGCCUUUAAUCGGGUGUCGGAGGCGGACAGCACGUUUACUUUGAACAAAUUUGAGUGCUCAAAGCAGGCCUUUGUGCCUGAAAAUUCUUGCAUGGAAUAAUGGAAUA